rnacentral:rRNA from 1 species
CCUACGGGAGACAGCAGUGGGGAAUAUUGCACAAUGGGGGAAACCCUGAUGCAGCGACGCCGCGUGAGUGAAGAAGUAUUUCGGUAUGUAAAGCUCUAUCAGCAGGGAAGAAAAUGACGGUACCUGAUUAAGAAGCCCCGGCUAACUACGUGCCAGCAGCCGCGGUAAUACGUAGGGGGCAAGCGUUAUCCGGAUUUACUGGGUGUAAAGGGAGCGUAGACGGCAGCACAAGUCUGGAGUGAAAUGCCGGGGCUUAACCCCGGAACUGCUUUGGAAACUGUGCAGCUAGAGUGCAGGAGAGGUAAGUGGAAUUCCUAGUGUAGCGGUGAAAUACGUAGAUAUUAGGAGGAACACCAGUGGCGAAGGCGGCUUACUGAACUGUAACUGACGUUGAGGCUCGAAAGCGUGGGGAGCAAACAGGAUUAGAUACCCUAGUAGUC